rnacentral:rRNA from 1 species
AUAAUGGGUCAGCGACUUAUAUUCUGUAGCAAGGUUAACCGAAUAGGGGAGCCGAAGGGAAACCGAGUCUUAACUGGGCGUUAAGUUGCAGGGUAUAGACCCGAAACCCGGUGAUCUAGCCAUGGGCAGGUUGAAGGUUGGGUAACACUAACUGGAGGACCGAACCGACUAAUGUUGAAAAAUUAGCGGAUGACUUGUGGCUGGGGGUGAAAGGCCAAUCAAACCGGGAGAUAGCUGGUUCUCCCCGAAAGCUAUUUAGGUAGCGCCUCGUGAAUUCAUCUCCGGGGGUAGAGCACUGUUUCGGCAAGGGGGUCAUCCCGACUUACCAACCCGAUGCAAACUGCGAAUACCGGAGAAUGUUAUCACGGGAGACACACGGCGGGUGCUAACGUCCGUCGUGAAGAGGGAAACAACCCAGACCGCCAGCUAAGGUCCCAAAGUCAUGGUUAAGUGGGAAACGAUGUGGGAAGGCCCAGACAGCCAGGAUGUUGGCUUAGAAGCAGCCAUCAUUUAAAGAAAGCGUAAUAGCUCACUGGUCGAGUCGGCCUGCGCGGAAGAUGUAACGGGGCUAAACCAUGCACCGAAGCUGCGGCAGCGACACUAUGUGUUGUUGGGUAGGGGAGCGUUCUGUAAGCCUGUGAAGGUGUACUGUGAGGUAUGCUGGAGGUAUCAGAAGUGCGAAUGCUGACAUAAGUAACGAUAAAGCGGGUGAAAAGCCCGCUCGCCGGAAGACCAAGGGUUCCUGUCCAACGUUAAUCGGGGCAGGGUGAGUCGACCCCUAAGGCGAGGCCGAAAGGCGUAGUCGAUGGGAAACAGGUUAAUAUUCCUGUACUUGGUGUUACUGCGAAGGGGGGACGGAGAAGGCUAUGUUGGCCGGGCGACGGUUGUCCCGGUUUAAGCGUGUAGGCUGGUUUUCCAGGCAAAUCCGGAAAAUCAAGGCUGAGGCGUGAUGACGAGGCACUACGGUGCUGAAGCAACAAAUGCCCUGCUUCCAGGAAAAGCCUCUAAGCAUCAGGUAACAUCAAAUCGUACCCCAAACCGACACAGGUGGUCAGGUAGAGAAUACCAAGGCGCUUGAGAGAACUCGGGUGAAGGAACUAGGCAAAAUGGUGCCGUAACUUCGGGAGAAGGCACGCUGAUAUGUAGGUGAAGUCCCUCGCGGAUGGAGCUGAAAUCAGUCGAAGAUACCAGCUGGCUGCAACUGUUUAUUAAAAACACAGCACUGUGCAAACACGAAAGUGGACGUAUACGGUGUGACGCCUGCCCGGUGCCGGAAGGUUAAUUGAUGGGGUUAGCGCAAGCGAAGCUCUUGAUCGAAGCCCCGGUAAACGGCGGCCGUAACUAUAACGGUCCUAAGGUAGCGAAAUUCCUUGUCGGGUAAGUUCCGACCUGCACGAAUGGCGUAAUGAUGGCCAGGCUGUCUCCACCCGAGACUCAGUGAAAUUGAACUCGCUGUGAAGAUGCAGUGUACCCGCGGCAAGACGGAAAGACCCCGUGAACCUUUACUAUAGCUUGACACUGAACAUUGAGCCUUGAUGUGUAGGAUAGGUGGGAGGCUUUGAAGUGUGGACGCCAGUCUGCAUGGAGCCGACCUUGAAAUACCACCCUU